rnacentral:rRNA from 1 species
AGCAUAUCAAUAAGCGGAGGAAAAGAAACUAACAAGGAUUCCCCUAGUAACGGCGAGUGAAGCGGGAAGAGCUCAAAUUUAAAAUCUGGCAGUGUAUUCUGUCCGAGUUGUAGUCUAGAGAAGCAUCAUCCGUGCUGGACCAUGUACAAGUCUCUUGGAACAGAGCGUCAUAGAGGGUGAGAAUCCCGUCCUUGACAUGGACUCCCAGUACUUUGUGUUGUGCUCUCAACGAGUCGAGUUGUUUGGGAAUGCAGCUCAAAAUGGGUGGUAAAUUCCAUCUAAAGCUAAAUAUUGGCGAGAGACCGAUAGCGAACAAGUACCGUGAGGGAAAGAUGAAAAGCACUUUGGAGAGAGAGUUAAACAGUACGUGAAAUUGUUGAAAUGGAAACGCUUGAAGUCAGUCGCGUUCUCUGGGAUUCAGCCUUGCUUUUGCUUGGUGCAUUUCCUAGUCUACGGGCCAGCAUGAAUUUUGACCGGUGGAAAAAGAUUUGGGGAAUGUGGCACCUUCGGGUGUGUUAUAGCCCCUUGUCAUAUACAUCGGUUGGGAUUGAGGUCUUAGUGCACGCUUCGGUUGUGCUUUGAUGCUGGCGUAAUGGCUUUAAACGACCCGUCUUGAAACACGGACCAAGGAGUCUAACAUGUCUGCAAGUGUUUGGGUGCAAAACCCGAGCGCGAAAUGAAAGUGAUAGUUGGGAACCUCUUUAGAGGGGCACCGACGCCCGGACCAGACCUUCUGUGACGGAUCCGAGGUAGAGCAUAUAUGUUGGGACCCGAAAGAUGGUGAACUAUGCCUGCAUAGGGUGAAGCCAGAGGAAACUCUGGUGGAGGCUCGUAGCGAUUCUGACGUGCAAAUCGAUCGUCAAAUGUGGGUAUAGGGGCGAAAGA